UACGUAGGGGGCAAGCGUUGUCCGGAAUCAUUGGGCGUAAAGAGCGUGUAGGCGGUCCGGUAAGUCGGCUGUGAAAGUCCAGGGCUCAACCCUGGGAUGCCGGUCGAUACUGCCGGACUAGAGUUCGGAAGAGGCGAGUGGAAUUCCCGGUGUAGCGGUGAAAUGCGCAGAUAUCAGGAGGAACACCAAUUGCGAAGGCAGCUCGCUGGGACGUUACUGACGCUGAGACGCGAAAGCGUGGGGAGCGAACAGG
rnacentral:rRNA from 1 species